UUUUGCCUGUCAGCUAAAGCCUUCAUAUUAACUGCAUUUUCCUGGAGAACCAGACACAUGUUCUGGUAAAACUAGCAAUGGAAUGCAAACUUACUGAUAAGCAUGGAUGGACAUCUCGCGAGAGGGGCAACAAGAAGCCGGUGACCAAGAAACUGACCAACUGUGUAUAACAUUCCAUUCACGUGGAUAUUUUAUAUAAAAGUGGGAGAUCACGAGGAUCUCGUCCCUUUUCCCUUUUUGCCUUUGCUUUUUUCUCUUCUGCUUAUGGCCGACAUUAGGAGAGGACCUUGCUAGUCGUCCCUGUGAACUGAGGCCUAGUGAGAGACUGAAUCCAGCUCCGGUUGGCUGCAGAGUCUAAUCCAGGACUUUGGGGGGGCCGGCUCUGCAGUUGCUGAGAUUUCCAGAUUGGUUUUGUAUAUUUUGUAUUAUUUUCUCUAUUCUUAUUAGUAGCAUUAGUAAAACAUUGUUAAUUUUUCCAACUCUCUUCUCUCUGUCCUUCUUUCCCUCCCGAUCACCUGUCCUGAGUGGGAAAAGGGGAGAGGGAGGGGCAAAAAGGCGGAAGGGGGGGUGGGAGAGGGGGUUAACAAUACAUCUGCCAGGGUUUUAUUGUCACCCCGCAAUCUUAACCCUCGACAGUCUGCAUCACUAAAUCAUCAGCCAAACACAUUUUAUUAGAUGUUCCUUCAUGGACGCAAAACCCAUUAGAUACUCCUUCACCAUCCGAACUUGCCUACAUGGCUGUAUUUCCUAUAGAAAGGAAACCUGUUACCUGGUUUAGUUCAGCCUCUUCUGCUGCAGGGUGGUGCAUCCACUCCCUAUUUCUCUUUCUGGGUUUCAUCAUUUGACAUUACUCCUUCCUCUAGCAGUCUCAAGUCUUUUUGAAAAUUCAGCUCUAGGCACUGCAGAUGAGGACAAGGACUUCAUCAGGAGUGAAGUUUUGCUACACAAAAACCUUAUCCAAAGCUUUUUCAGAAAGAAUGAGAGGUGAGAAGUAACUGUUUUCCCCAAAUUAUGGAGAAGAAACUGAGGCAUGUGCACAUCUCACUACAGCUCCCAGACCACGAGGCAGGACCAAAGGAGGACGUCUGGGGGAAAGGAGCCAUCUCACACAGGCCUUAUUCCCCACCUAUCACAGCCACACUUGUGCUGUGAGGCCACACGGUCCGCUCUGUCAAGGAAUUGAUUCAGGUUAAAAUUAACCACUUUUCUGGCAAGUUAGUUUUUCCCUGGUGACUUUCCUGCUCCAGGUCACUACAGAGUUGCACAAACUCUUCCAUAAGCAAGAGGGAAGAGAGGGCAGGAGGGGGAAGGAGCAGAACUCUGAGCUGGGGGAGAACAGGAUGUACCAGAGCAGCUUUAUUUCAGAUCAUGGUGUUUGUGGGACUACAGCAGAGGCUUUUCCUUAACAGUAAUUCUGUAUCUGACUUCUCCUGAAACCAAUGCUCUGAACCCAUCUGACUUUUUGAAGGUCAUGUAAAACAUUUCUAAUAGUGCACAUAAUUAACACAAUUAUGCAGUUUAAAAUAGGUAAAAUAAGCCAUUUCAAUCCUGAGGGCCAAGGAAGCCUUCUUAUAUCUUUUGUGAUCCACACCACUAUUUAAUAAUAACAUGAAAAAAGAGAAGUGUAGCUGCAGGCUGCAUAAAAUUAAGGAAUAACCCAUUUGGGAAUUUUCCUAGGAGUCCUUGUUAAUAUAACAUGUUUUUUUCAUUGAAAAAUGUUAGGUGUUAUGCAAAAGAAAAAAAACUCACAUAACUUUUCUUGCUACUAAUGAAUUAGCCAUUGAAUCACACACCCAAGGCAGACCUACAUUUUUAAUUUUUGCAGGCAUAACUCAGUCUAUUACAAGUAGAGAAAUCUCAUGGCUUUAACCAAUAAAACUAUGCUUAAAAACAAACAAACAAACAAACAAACAAAAACAAACAACUAACCAAACAGAAAAAAACCCUAACAGAGUCCAUUAAACAAGUAAACAGUUCCUUUGUCUGUGCAGAUUAUCUUGAGAAUGGUACUAGCAAAGGAACUCCUGCUGUUGUAUAAGCUGUUUUCCGCACUGGAGGGAGGAGGGGUUGCAUAGCUCCAGCAGUACAGCUUUCCCAUUUAAACGCAGAUAAGCCUUAAGGAUAGAAGAUACUGGCAAGAAGGCCAAUGCAAGAGGUACUAUUGAGCUAGUCUUCGAGAAAAGCAGUCCCAGCUGCUCCCUGGCACACUUUGCAAACAGCAAAAGAUAAAACUGCGCCAAGGUGCCCGAUGUUACACCUUCCUGAUGCCUAGUCACAGUGUAAUUCUCCUGAGGAAGCUUGAGGAAGUCAGUUCAGAUUCUUCAGCUGAAUACUUUAUUCUGGGUGACUCCAGUUGUCCUGCUUUCUUGGUAGCACAACAGAGACUGGUGAUGCUGAGGGUCCUGCAUGGCAGAAACAGGAUGGCAGAACAUUUUACCAAGAAAUGCAGAACAGCUAUACUUAAGUACUCCACAUCAAGCCAGUGAUGAGACAUGCACUCUAAGUGCAUUUAUUCCUGAUUCAUUGCAAUUAGGUCCUUCAGUUCAUGGUAACAUUUUCCAUUUUCCUAAGAAAAGAGAGAUAAGGAGAAUGAAGAACAUUUUGAACUAAGGACUUAUGUGUCACAUGCAAAUGAGAUACCAGUCUUAUCCACUCAGAAACAACAUAUCUAUCUUGUGCCUGGAAAAGUGAGUCUAUUAUGAGUGAACCAGAUCUGAGAUAUUUCUCAAAAUACUAACAGACACUGCCCAAUCCUCACAAGCUCAUCAGGUUCAGUCAAGUUAACUCACAACCAAUGUUCUUGUUUUGUGAUCAUCUAUGUUUUAUAUCAUUCCUUAUUUCCACUUGCUGUUUGCAAUAUAUUGAAAGCCUUAAAAAUAGGAUGAACUGUAUUUCUGAAUAGAGGGGUUUUUUUAAGCUUAAAAUACAAUGUGACAAAUUUUCUUUUUUAAGGACUUGUCUGUCACUUUCCUUAUCCAUUCAACAUUCCUAACAUCAAAUGCAUCACAUGUGCUCAGUCAAGACUGUGUUUAGCUUGGUAUACAGAUGCAAAUGAAGAGCAAGCAGGGCAAAUUUUUUCCUAUCAUGUGUUUCUCUAAGUGGAAAACACCCAUAAAAGAAGGUCUGCUCUGAGUUUUAAAAACUACAGAGCCACUUUUUGUCUUAACUGAAGUCAACAGUAGUUUCAGGAGGGACAAGGUUGGGCUCGAAGACUUUGAUAGUAAGUCGUCUCUGUAUGAUGAUAUUGUUUGUAUGAAUGAAACUAUUGUUUGUAACAAAAGGUUCCCUGGAAGUAUAUGCCCAUCUAUAUGGCCAAAAUCCUUCAUCUGCACUGGUUUUGUAUCAUUUAAAAGAUGUGAACACUCUUUUAGUUACUACUGCUUCUGGACAAAAGUACUAGGUUAUGAGGAAUAAAUUUGUUCUUGCUAUUACUCAAAAUGAUUCAAAGAUAUUUUAUGUUGCUCUGUACAAAAUUAUAUUUGUCAGAUUAUUUAUUUUAUUGGGUAAACCUGUAUUUUUCCAGAUUUCUCUUGUUUUAUUACAUGUCAUUAAAGGAACUGGGAAUCAAUUAUUUUUUGUUUGAAUGUGAAAAAUAAGUUUCAAACAGCUUAAAUGCUAUAGUUUUAUUUAUGUCUCUGGAAUAAUUAGAUGGGGCACAAAUAUUUACAAGAGGAAAAAUGCAAACCCAAAAGAGCAGGCCUUUUCAUUUACUUUUUUUUCUUGUACUCUUUAAUUAGAGAUACAUGUCACGUUGUCCACUGUAGCUUUCAAAAUAAAAAGUAUACACUGAGGACUCA